rnacentral:misc_RNA from 1 species
UUCGAGGAGCUGCUAUAUGGGUUUGAAUUUUCAUGGCAUGAUAUUUAUUGCAAAGAGUGCGAAGGAAAGGGCUACUGCAUAUUUAAUCACGAUUAUUCCGAGGUCUCAGGAUGCUCUGCUUCCUUCAAUUUUCUGUAUAUGAUGCUUUACCUGGCCUACAUUUUGAUUUUUUAUGUGUUUCCCAUCCUCGUGUUAAGAUGUAUAUGUGGGACGCCAUGCAUUGCUACAUUCUUAAUCAUAAAAUGGCGA